rnacentral:rRNA from 1 species
UACGGAGGGAGCUAGCGUUGUUCGGAAUUACUGGGCGUAAAGCGCACGUAGGCGGCGAAGUAAGUCAGGGGUGAAAUCCCGGGGCUCAACCCCGGAACUGCCUUUGAAACUGCUAUGCUAGAAUCCUGGAGAGGCGAGUGGAAUUCCGAGUGUAGAGGUGAAAUUCGUAGAUAUUCGGAAGAACACCAGUGGCGAAGGCGACUCGCUGGACAGGUAUUGACGCUGAGGUGCGAAAGCGUGGGGAGCAAACAGG